UACGAAGGGGGCUAGCGUUGCUCGGAAUUACUGGGCGUAAAGCGCACGUAGGCGGCUUUCUAAGUCGGGGGUGAAAUCCUGGAGCUCAACUCCAGAACUGCCUUCGAUACUGGAAAGCUCGAGUCCGGGAGAGGUGAGUGGAACUGCGAGUGUAGAGGUGAAAUUCGGAGAUAUCGGGAGGAACACCAGUGGCGAAGGCGACUACCUGGCCUGUUCUUGACGCUGAGGCGCGAAAGCUAGGGGAGCAAACGGG
rnacentral:rRNA from 1 species